CUCUCUCCUCAAACACUUUCUUCUCAAACGGUGGGUUCUCCUUUUCUCUCUUUGUUGGCAUCAAUAUUUUCUCAAAAUUGAAGUUGCUUCUUCUUCCAACCAAUUUCUUUGACAACAUUCAACUUUCGACGCUUAUUCAUCUAUUCUAACUAGCCAAGGGAACAUCGAUUUGCAGGCUUUAGCAUUUGAAGCAAUACCUUACAUUAGGAAGCUAUUCAAGGAUCACUCAGAAGAAAUUUCUUAACCUAGGAUUCUUAGGUGGUUAUCUGCCAAAAACAACCCAAAAAUAAAUUUUGUUGAUCUCUUCAAUCCUCCUCCUGAUAUAGUAAGUCUUCUAUAGAAUAAUCUUCAUUCAAAUUAAUUGAUUAUCUGGUUUGCUUCCAAUAAAUGACUUAUCUAUAGUCAUCUAUUGCAAUAGAUGGGUGAUCUGUUAGAAGAAAACAUAAGAGUUUGCUAUUGUUUUACUUUCAUCCAACAGUUGACUAAUCAGUUGCAAUGGAUUAGUCAUUUGUUGAACGAAAACUUGAUCAUUUGCUACUGAUAUACUUUCAUCCAACAAUUAACUAAUUUGUUGCAACAAAUAGGUCAUUUGUUUGAUGAAAACUUAAUCAUCUACUACUUAUUUACUUACGCCCAACAAAUGACCUAUUUGUUGCAACAAUAUGUCAUUUGUUAGACAAAAUCUCAAUCGGUUGCUACUGAUUUACUUACAACCAAUAAAUGACCUAUUUGUUGCAACAAAUAGGUCAUUUGUUGGAUUAAAACUUAAUCAUUUUCUACGGAUUUACUUACGUCCAACAAAUGACCUAUUUGUUGCAAUAAAUAGGUCAUUUCUUGGACGAAAUCUCUAUCGUUUUCUAUUGAUGUUGGUGUUGAUAUUGGUAAUGUUGGUGCUAAAAUUGGUGGUGAGCAUGUUGAUGAUGUUGGUGGUACAUAUGGUGGAUUCACUCCAUUCAGUAGACGUACCACAUCUUUUACUCCUUUUUCUAGAUCAUGUUCUGCAUGUAAAUAUGAAGAACGCAAAAAUAAAGAGGUUCAAUUAAUAUCUACUAGUGAAGAUGUGAUGAAGUCACUUGAUGCUCUUACUAAUGUUGUUAAGGAAUUGAUAUUUAAGAGAGGUUUUAUUCCAUCACGAAAAAUUUCAGAGCUAUUCACACCAUUGAAGAUUAAGAGAAGAAAAAAAAUCAAUUUUCAAGAUAUUGUCAAAUAUGAAAAAGAGACAACAAACUGCAACAACUCCUCUUCCUUGUAAUGUUGAGUCAUCUUUAGGAGCCAUGGAAGAGCAAAAGAAGUUGUAGAAGUUAUGAGGCUGCUAAAGUCAUAUUUUGUAAGCUGAAGAACCUAAUAUGCAUUGUAAUUUAUGAAGGCUUGUCAUAUUUAGUUAAUCAUAUUUUAUAAUUCCUGAUGACAAUAUUUUAUAAUUAAUAGAUGUUCAGUUAUUUUA